CAAAGACAUGACCAGCAGCUCGUGUACUAAAGUGGAUUUCAGAAAUUGAAGAGCUGUAAUGUUUCGUGUGUUUUCUCCCCUCACAGUGAAGCUUGUCAGCACCUCAUGCAAAUGCAUCUCAUAAUUUUACAGACUCAGACCUUUAAAGGGAUAAGACAAAGAAGGCAUCUGCAAUUAUUGCAAAGUGAAGCUAUUGAGUAUGGUUACAAGAGAAUGAUUUUGGAGUCAACAGAUCUGUUGGACACUGGCAGAGAUGAUAUUUAGGUCUCACACUGGGGCAUUGAUUGCAGAUGUCUGUUUCUGCUUCAAUGAGGAAACGAGGACACAACAUUCAAUAAAGGAAUGGGAUGAUAGUUUGCUGAAGCUUUCACUUGCGAGAAACAAGGAUGAAGAAGAAGCUGAGGAUCAUGAAGUUUGGAUAAUUGCAUCCAUGUUGCAAAGCAAGAUAUCAAAUGAAGUUGGGAUUUUGAACACUAAGUGUGAUUGCCAAGAGUGUCUUUUUAUUCUAGAAUGUUAUAGCAUAUGUCCCAAAGGGAAAAUAUCUAUAUUUGUUCCCCAGGAGAACAUUCACUGGAUUUUUAAUCUAAGGAAGUUACUCAUUCUUCAUGAAUCUACAAAAUGGAGAGACACAAAGAUAAUUGCACAGAUAUGGAUCGGAUAUAGAUAUGGCUGUAACUACACACACACUAAUAUACAUAUUUCCCUUAGUUAUAACUCUAAAAUGUAGAUGGGUUAAGUAUCAUGCCCAUUUACAUGUACAUCUCUAUAUCUAGUUAUAAUAAUUAUACACAAAAAACAAAUUCGGGGGGGGUAAAAAUCAAUGAGCUAGAUUACCAUAUAGUUAUGAAACCCCAAUAGUUUAUUGAUUGUGACAAUGACUUUUGGUGUCACUCUGUCAAAUCCCUGGCUCUGACACAUAUUACAUGUGCGGCCUUCAACUUACAGGGUAAAAUCUCUGAGCCUCAGUUCAUACUGUAUUAAAUUAUGGAGUCUUCUUUAUAGAGUUGAUAAGUAAAUCAAACAAGGACAUACAGAUAAAUUGCUCAGUAUACUACCUGAAACACAGUGACUCCUCAAUGGUAUUUAUUCCUUUUCUUUCUUACUUGUGUUAUGUCAGUUUUGGGUUGGUGGUGUUUGUGGUGGUUUGGUUUUGUUUUGUUUUGUUUUCAUCACAGCCCUCAUUUCAAAACCAAAAUACCUAAAUAAAUCCAUAUGGAUUUUGGUCUAAUUCUACCUC
rnacentral:lncRNA from 12 species